rnacentral:rRNA from 1 species
GAUGAACGCUGGCGGCGUGCCUAAUACAUGCAAGUCGAGCGAACAGACGAGGAGCUUGCUCCUCUGACGUUAGCGGCGGACGGGUGAGUAACACGUGGAUAACCUACCUAUAAGACUGGGAUAACUUCGGGAAACCGGAGCUAAUACCGGAUAAUAUAUUGAACCGCAUGGUUCAAUAGUGAAAGACGGUUUUGCUGUCACUUAUAGAUGGAUCCGCGCCGCAUUAGCUAGUUGGUAAGGUAACGGCUUACCAAGGCAACGAUGCGUAGCCGACCUGAGAGGGUGCUCGGCCACACUGGAACUGAGACACGGUCCAGACUCCUACGGGAGGCAGCAGUAGGGAAUCUUCCGCAAUGGGCGAAAGCCUGACGGAGCAACGCCGCGUGAGUGAUGAAGGUCUUCGGAUCGUAAAACUCUGUUAUUAGGGAAGAACAAAUGUGUAAGUAACUAUGCACGUCUUGACGGUACCUAAUCAGAAAGCCACGGCUAACUA